rnacentral:rRNA from 1 species
AUACGGAGGGGGCUAGCGUUGUUUGGAAUUACUGGGCGUAAAGCGUACGUAGGCGGACUGAUCAGUUGGGGGUGAAAUCCCAGGGCUUAACCCUGGAACUGCCUUCAAUACUGUCAGUCUUGAGAUUGGAAGAGGUGAGUGGAAUUCCUAGUGUAGAGGUGAAAUUCAUAGAUAUUAGGAGGAACACCAGUGGCGAAGGCGGCUCACUGGUCCAAUACUGACGCUGAGGUACGAAAGCGUGGGGAGCAAACAGGAUUAGAAACCCCAGUAGUCC